AGUUUUGGACCAGGCUGAUUUUUGUAUAUUCCUUUCAUCUUUGUGAGUCACACCUGAUGAACAGGUUUGAUGACAUAUAGACACCAUGGUGGCCCCACACAAACCUAUGGGCUUAACAAUUGAAGAGCACACCUGAAUCCUGAUGAGCGGAGUGGAUUUCAUAUAUACAACAAGGUGGCCCCAAAGAGCACAAGUCAAGUUUUAUACAUGAUUCCUAUCGGUUGUGUGAGCGCAUUCCGUGUAGGGAUUGAAAUCAUCUGCAAGACGUCAAAACUCCAACUGUUUCGUAUAGUUAAAACUCUUGCAUGACUUGUGGAGUUAUGGGGCGUGCCUUUUCGAACCAUUCAUUUCGAUGAGAUCCACACCAUCCAUCAGGUGCACCAUUGUGGGUUUCAAAUGAGCCCAAAGAUCAGGCCGAUUCAAAACUCAAGUGGGCUACACCAUGGCAAGCAGUUGAGAUAGGGACGCUCCUCCAAUCUAAUUCAUCUGACACAAACCAUUGGGAUGAAGAAGAUGCUCCGAAAAUCAGGACAUUCCAAUGCUCAUGUGGGCCACACCACAUGAAUUUAGAGGUUAGGACAUGAUUUGACAGCGCUCUUUAUGGUGUCGCCCACCUAAGUCCUGGAUGGGACUGAUUUUCAGGAUCAUAAUGAAAAUCUAGUGGCACAUCCGAUGGACUAGGUGGACUUGAUUGCAUGUUCCUCCCACGCACCAGUCAUCCAUUGCAAUUCACGCCCACCCUAGGAUUGCAUAGUCGGGCUAGUGUAAUCGUACAACACCCAAGCUCCGUGGGCCUACCAUGCUGUCUGUUAGAUAUCCACUGGGCAUAAGGUAUGCCCCUCAAAACUUGGCCAUGUGGUAAAAAACCAACGGGAUCUAGAACUUAGGUGGGCCACACCAUAGAGAACAAUGGUAUAGGACGCCAACCAUAGGUAUGUUUAUGGGCCACACGGAUUGGAUGUUUUAGGCUUCAAAUUGAAGGGAAUCUAGGUGAGGUUAAGCAAUAUUUUAUUAAAAAUGGCAUUUUGGCCAUUUACAUGAAUUUCCUUUGUUGGCUUUGAUCAAGUCAAGUGUACAAAAGAAAGUAUUAUGAAAUUCUUCGGGUAUAACUGUAAUUAGAUGAUGGAUAAGUUGAUAACUGUAUUUGUAACAUAAAUAUAGGGGGGAUUUUCUCUAUAUAAAACCGGGCAUAGGUCAGUAAAAGAUGGCUCCUACGUGCAUGGAGUUUUGGCUGAGGAAGAAAAAUAGUGUUGGCUUGAGCUGAGCAUCGUGCAUUUCCUCAUGAGUAUAUUGAUUAAUUAGACUCCAAAUCGAAGGGAGACUUGAACAUGAACAAACUUAAAGAAAACAAAGAGCUCGUAAGAGGAAGGAGGCAUUGUUGGUUAGUCUAAUUGAAGUGGUGGUAGUGCCAGCGGGGCUCAUUUCACUUGAGAUCUUGGUAGCAAACCCACCUUCAGGAUUUUCUGUAAUUAAUAAUUUGGACUAAUUGAACUCCAAAUUGAAUGGAGAGACUUUAACACAACAAAUAGAAAACAAAGAGCUUGUAGAAGGAAGGAGGCAAUGUUCAUUAGUCCAAUUGAAGUGGUGGCAAUUGCUGGUGGGGCUAAAUUCACUUAAACUACAUCUCGGUAGCAAACCCACCUUUAGGAUUUUCUCUAAUUCACACCCUUGCUUGCUGCUUCUUUGGCUCCGUUGAUUCCAU